rnacentral:misc_RNA from 1 species
GAUGAAGAACGUAGCGAAAUGCGAUAAGUAGUGUGAAUUGCAGAAUUCAGUGAAUCAUCGAAUCUUUGAACGCACAUUGCGCCCCUUGGUAUUCCAUGGGGCAUGCCUGUUCGAGCGUCAUUUGUACCUCCAAGCUUUGCUUGGUGUUGGGUGUUUGUCUCGCCUUUGCGUGUAGACUCGCCUUAAAAUAAUUGGCAGCCGGCGUAUUGAUUUCGGAGCGCAGUACAUCUCGCGCUUUGCACUCAUAACGACAGCGUCCAAAAGUACAUUUUACACUCUUGACCUCGGAUCAGGUAGGGAUACCCGCUGAACUUAAGCAUAUCAAUAAGCGGAGGA